rnacentral:rRNA from 1 species
AUUGAACGCUGGCGGCAGGCCUAAUACAUGCAAGUCGAGCGGAGCGGCGGACGGGUGAGUAAUUCCUAGGAAUCUGCCUGGUCGUGUGGGAUAACGUACGGAAACGGGCGCUAAUACCGCAUACUAUCAGAUGAGCCUAGGUCGGAUUAGCUAGUUGGUGGGGUAAAGGCCUACCAAGGCGAUGAUCCGGAACUGGUCUGAGCGGAUGAUCAGUCACACUGGAACUGGGACACGGCCAGAACUCCUACGGGAGGAAGAGGUGGGGAAUAUUGGACAUGGGGGGAAGGCCGGAUCAAGCCAUGCCGGGUGUGUGAAGAAGGUCUUGGGAUUGUAAAGCAUUUUAAGUUGGGAGGCGUUACCAACAGAAUAAGCGCCGGCUAACUUCGUGCCAGCAGCCGCGGUAAUUC